rnacentral:rRNA from 1 species
UACGUAGGGUGCAAGCGUUAAUCGGAAUUACUGGGCGUAAAGCGUGCGCAGGCGGCUUUGCAAGACAGAUGUGAAAUCCCCGGGCUUAACCUGGGAAUGGACAUUGGUGACUGUACGGCUAGAGUGUGUCAGAGGGGGGUAGAAUUCCACGUGUAGCAGUGAAAUGCGUAGAGAUGAUGGAGGAACACCGAUGGCGAAGGCAGCCCCCUGGGUUAACACUGACGCUCAGGCACGAAAGCGUGGGGAGCAAACAGG